rnacentral:rRNA from 1 species
AGAACGAACGCUGGCGGCAGGCCUAACACAUGCAAGUCGAGCGCCCCGCAAGGGGAGCGGCGGACGGGUGAGUAACGCGUGGGAACGUACCCUUUGCUACGGAAUAGCCUCGGGAAACUGGGAGUAAUACCGUAUGUGCCCUUCGGGGGAAAGAUUUAUCGGCAAAGGAUCGGCCCGCGUUGGAUUAGGUAGUUGGUGGGGUAAUGGCCUACCAAGCCGACGAUCCAUAGCUGGUUUGAGAGGAUGAUCAGCCACACUGGGACUGAGACACGGCCCAGACUCCUACGGGAGGCAGCAGUGGGGAAUCUUAGACAAUGGGCGCAAGCCUGAUCUAGCCAUGCCGCGUGAGCGAUGAAGGCCUUAGGGUUGUAAAGCUCUUUCAGUGGGGAAGAUAAUGACUGUACCCACAGAAGAAGCCCCGGCUAACUCCGUG